rnacentral:lncRNA from 1 species
UUGCCCACUGGAAGAGUCUUUCCAUUUGCCACACUGGAUGCCACACUGGAUGGGAUAAUCUAGGAGGGAGGAACUGUGGAGAUGGUGCGCCUUGGGAUGUCCAGAAGACAGUGACCAGAAUUUCAAGAGAUGUUUUCAGAUUUCACAGUAUAAUAAGAGAAAAGGAGCCAAUCCCUUAAAUGAAGAACCUUCAAUCACUUCUCCCCAGGUGCACGUUUCAAUUUCAUUUCUUUUCAUCAACUCCUUCCCUUUGAUGAUGGGUUGCAUUGAAAACUAUUAAGAAAAGUAGGAUAUUUAAAAUGAACUGUGUUAAGAAGAGGAUCAUUUCAAAGAAUCUAUUCUGAGGAAGUGCCUUCAGCCAAUCAAAAAGCUAAAGAAACUGGAUAUAAUGUGAAUCUAGUGUAAAUUACCAUGAUGUCUCCUUCAACAUUCAUCAAGACUUCUGACUAGUCUACUUGAUCUGUGAAAAUGAGAUUACUUGAAGACCUGUCACAGAUUUUAAAGCAGAACACGAUAUAUUGAUUAUACAAAUAUUUUUAUGUCACCCUGUAUCUUAAUAAAA